rnacentral:lncRNA from 1 species
UCAAUAAGACAAGUCUUCUAUUGAGCAUGCUUGGGCAAGUACAGCUGGAAUAGAAAAGAUAGACAGUGGAUUCUUUGGCUUCAUCCAAGUGGGCUGAGGAUUGAAGUAUUUUUCCAGUCAUGUUCUUGAACACCUACUUUCAUGGCAUGCUGACAUUUCCAGACUACUGAAGAUGUGAUGAUUAACUGAUCCUGCAUUUGAUGAAAAAAAAGUUUGCACAUUCCAAAGGAGAUAGGUUUCAAAUGACUAUAUAGGGUACAAUUUCCACUGAAGUGAUUUCUCUUAAUCUUAAUCCUUAACCACUCUCAUUGCUACAGUACCUUCCAAAAGUAAGCAUAGUUCAUAAAGUCUUCAGACUGCCUUUUAGCACAUUAACAUACUCUUCACAAUCCCACAAUAAAAGCACCUUAAGUGCAGGGA